rnacentral:rRNA from 1 species
GACGAACGCUGGCGGCGUGCUUAACACAUGCAAGUCGAACGGGCCUGUCUUCUUUUUUGGGGGUGGGUUGAGUGGCGAACGGGUGAGUAUCACGUGAGUAACCUGCCCUUCGGUCCUGGAUAACCGCUUGAAAGGGCGGCUAAUACGGGGUGGUCCGGUUGGUCCGCAUGGGCUGGUCGGGAUAGCUUCACUGUUUUUGGUGUUUCGGCGGGGGAUGGGCUCGCGGCCUAUUAGCUUGUUGGUGGGGUGAUGGCCUACCAGGGCGUUGACGGGUAGCCGGCCUGAGAGGGUGGGCGGCCAGAAUGGGACUGGGAUACGGCCCAGGCGCCUGCGGGAGGCAGCUGUGGGGGGUAUUGCACAACGGGCGGAAGCCUGAUGCAGCGACGUCGAGUGAGGGAUGGAGGCCUUCGGGUUGUGAACCUCUGUUUCCGGUGGUGAAGGCCCUGUCCGUGUGGUGGGGUUGACGGUAGCCGGGGAUGAAGCGCCGGCUAACUACGUG